rnacentral:lncRNA from 1 species
GCUGGGUUCACUCCACGGGAUAGUGUGUGGAAGACAGGAGGGGAGGGAGUCUGGGUAUCCACCUCCCCAGCCCUUCCUUUCGGAUUCCCUGUGGGUCAUGUACUUCCUCUUCCUAAAGGUCCUGGCUUCUGUCCAGGGAGCUCUCAUUGCCACUACCCUCUUGGCUUCCUGUAAUUACUUCUUCACUUUUAGGAAUCGUCCCCUGAUGUUGCUGGCCACAGAAUUCUGAAUUAGCCUGCACUGAUUUCCUAAAUCCUAUCUGUGCCUUUGUAAAUAGUCUCUUUAUUAAACUCCCCUCAAACUGCCCAGUCUGAGUGUGC